CCUACGGGGCGCUGCAGUGAGGAAUAUUGGUCAAUGGGCGCGAGCCUGAACCAGCCAAGUCGCGUGAGGGAAGACGGUCCUAUGGAUUGUAAACCUCUUUUGUCGGGGAGCAAAAGACGCCACGCGUGGCGUUCCGAGCGUACCCGAAGAACAAGCAUCGGCUAACUCCGUACCAGCAGCCGCGGUAAUACGGAGGAUGCGAGCGUUAUCCGGAUUUAUUGGGUUUAAAGGGUGCGCAGGCGGAAGAUCAAGUCAGCGGUAAAAUUGAGAGGCUCAACCUCUUCGAGCCGUUGAAACUGGUGUUCUUGAGUGAGCGAGAAGUAUGCGGAAUGCGUGGUGUAGCGGUGAAAUGCAUAGAUAUCACGCAGAACUCCGAUUGCGAAGGCAGCAUACCGGCGCUCAACUGACGCUCAUGCACGAAAGUGUGGGUAUCGAACAGGAUUAGAUACCCCUGUAGUC
rnacentral:rRNA from 1 species